AUUGAACGCUAGCGGGAUGCCUUACACAUGCAAGUCGAACGGAGUGGCGAACGGGUGAGUAAUGUAUCGGAACGUGCCCAGUAGCGGGGGAUAACUACGCGAAAGCGUAGCUAAUACCGCAUACUAUUGGAGCGGCCGAUAUCGGAUUAGCUAGUUGGGGGGGUAACGGCUCACCAAGGCGAAGAUCCGUAGCCGGUUUGAGAGGACGACCAGCCCCACUGGGAAUGAGACACGGCCCAGACUCCUACGGGAGGCAGCAGGGGGGAAUUUUGGGAAAUGGGGGAAACCCCGACCCAGCCAACCCGCGUGAGCGAUGAAGGGCUUCGGGUUGGAAAGCAAUUUUGGCAGGGAAGCGGUACCUGCAGAAUAAGCACCGGCUAACUACGUGCCAGCCGCCGCGGUAAUAC
rnacentral:rRNA from 1 species